ACCUCCGUGGUGUAACGGUAGCACACUCGGCGCCUAUUCUAGAGGUCCAGGUUCGAGUCCCGGCGAGGGCA
rnacentral:tRNA from 1 species